rnacentral:RNase_P_RNA from 1 species
CGAGCAAGCUAAACAGCUGCGGGUCACAUGGCCGAAAGGCAGUGCCCGAGGAAAGUCCGGGCUCCACAGGGUAAGAAUAACGGCUAACGGCCGCCGGGGGUGACCCUAGGGAUAGUGCAACAGAGAUAUACCGCCUGUUUUGCAGGUAAGGGUGGAAAGGCGAGGUAAGAGCUCACCGGCAUCAUGGAGACUUGAUGGCCCUGUAAACCCUAUUCGGAGCAACACCGUGGAGAGAUAUAUACGCAUUUACCCGAUGCAUCUCAUGGAGGUGGCAUUGAGCAGUUUACGGUAACGUACUGCCAAGAUAGAUAGCUGUUCUAGACAGAACUCGGCUUAUCGGUUUGGUCGCAUU